rnacentral:misc_RNA from 1 species
GAUGAAGAACGCAGCGAAAUGCGAAAAGUAAUGUGAAUUGCAGAAUUCAGUGAAUCAUCGAAUCUUUGAACGCACAUUGCGCCCGCUGGUACUCCGGCGGGCACGCCUGUCCGAGCGUCAUUUCAACCCUCAAGCCCUCCUUCGGGAUGGGCCUGGUGUUGGGGCUCGGCCGCCAUCUCCGGCGGCCGUCCCCUAAAUACAGUGGCGGUCACGUCGCGACUCCUUUGCGUAGUAGAAACACCUCGCUCCGGAUAGCAACGCGGUCCACGCCGUAAAAUCCCCAAUUUUCAAUGGUUGACCUCGGAUCAGGUGGGAAUACUCGCUGAACUUAAGCAUAUCAAUAAGCGGAGGA